ACGAUGCUCGUUGCGCUUUGCCCUUCUCGCGACGACGAUCAACGCGCGUACACGUUUCGUCGACUGUUUUUUUUUAUACUCAUACGACUACAGCGCGCUCUUGACGUUUUAGGAAUUCUUAUAAGAUUCUUGGUAACUAACUGUACCUAUAAAAAAAAAAUAAAGAUGAUAGUGAAUUUGAAUUAGUGAUUCUGAAGAUGCUCCGAAGACUACAAUAUUUGCCUGCUCUAUCAUCAGCAACGUUACUAAUGAAUUUUUACUGGAUUUAUUUAAAUCCUAAUGGGUCAACAAAUUAAUUAAAAAAAAAUGUGAAAUUAAUAAACAAGUGAAGACUGUGAUAUUUGAAAAGUGAUAGAUAAAUAGAGCAAAAGAGAGCGCAAAUACAGUGAUAAUGAAGAAGGAAAGCAACGAAUUUCAAAUAAAUCAUAAAUUUAAAAAAUUGAGAUUGCGAGGCUUCAGUUGAUCAACUGAAUUGGCAUGUGCAAAAUACACAAAAUCGGAAUUGCUCAAAAGGUUACUGACCCCGAUGCGCUGUGUGCUUUGCGGUGAGGGUAUUCAAAUGUUUUUAUACCGUAAUUGUAAUGCUAGUGGUUAUUGAUAUUUUAGAUUUUAGUGUCCUCGAUAUCCGUUAUGCAUAUCGGCUUUAUACGGGCCCUAGAAGAGCGUAGUCUCAUUGUCUUUCUGUCCGUCAUGAGUGACUCACUCCAUUGUUGCGUUACACAAUAGAUGUCUUUGUGCAUUGUGCCCCGGGGACCCUGGUGUUACGUAUUUUGUAAUAAUUAGUCGACGUCUAUUCGACUCGCUAAUGACACGUAUUGCCCUCCGCAUGAAACCUCAUAAGGUGUGUAAAAAUUACGUGCAUAAUU